CGUAGUGGGGACAGUUUCUCUAAUGGGUAUGCUUUCUUGGGUGAAAACAAGGGUGAAGAGUUCUUCCUUUGAGAGGAAGUAAGGGAGGGCUGGGCGGAGCCAUUCCUGGUUACUAAGGGGGAGGCAGCAUUACGGUUUUCAUAGAAACCGGGGUCAUUAUGGCGACUCUUUUCAAAUGGCGACCUGACGAUGUCCUGGAAAGGAGCAUUCAGUUCCUGGUGUUUGGACUGAGUUGAGCUUAUGGAUUCCCGGAGGCAAAGAAGGUCUCACCCAAGCCUCAUUUAAGAGAUUCACUGGGAGGGAAGAGUCCAGGAGGUGGCUGACCCUGCAAGAGUGGGAAAGGCAGCUCCCAACUGAACAGGAUCAGGGUGUGCUGCUUUGGACAGAAAGGGGUGUUGUUUCCCCUAGAAACAGAUAUGCAGUCC